rnacentral:rRNA from 1 species
CAGCCGCCGCGGUAAUACGUAGGGUGCGAGCGUUAAUCGGAAUUACUGGGCGUAAAGCGUGCGCAGGCGGUUAUAUAAGACAGAUGUGAAAUCCCCGGGCUCAACCUGGGACCUGCAUUUGUGACUGUAUAGCUAGAGUACGGUAGAGGGGGAUGGAAUUCCGCGUGUAGCAGUGAAAUGCGUAGAGAUCUGGAGGAACACCGAUGGCGAAGGCAAUCCCCUGGGCCUGCACUGACGCUCAUGCACGAAAGCGUGGGGAGCAAACAGGAUUAGAUACCCGGGUAGUCCCUGUCUCUUAUAC